rnacentral:tRNA from 1 species
GGCGGCGUAGACCGGGCGGCUCUGCGUCUCCAGGGCGUAGGAGAUCCGGCUGUCCGAGACCACCACGCCGCCG